AGAGUUUGAUCCUGGCUCAGGACGAACGCUGGCGGCGUGCUUAAUACAUGCAAGUCAACUGAACACAGAGUAGCAAUAUUCUGUGGGAGGUGGCGCACGGGUGCGUAACACGUAGGUAAUCUACCCUUAGGCCUGACAUAACUUUCCGAAAGGAAGGCUAAUAUCAGAUUAUGCAGCGGCUCCGCAUGGAGACAGUUGUUAAAGCUACGGCACCUAAGGAUGAGCCUGCGGUCCAUUAGGUAGUUGGCGGGAUAACAGCCCACCAAGCCAACGAUGGGUAGCUGGUCUGAGAGGAUGAUCAGCCACACUGGAACUGAGACACGGUCCAGACUCCUACGGGAGGCAGCAGUAAGGAAUAUUGCUCAAUGGCCGAAAGGCUGAAGCAGCAACGCCGCGUGAAGGAUGAAGGGAUUUUUCUUGUAAACUUCUGUAAAAAAGGAAAAAUAAUUCGAUUUAUCGAAGAUGAUUGUACUUUUGAAGUAAGCACCGGCUAACUACGUGCCAGCAGCCGCGGUAAUACGUAGGGUGCAAGCGUUGUCCGGAUUUACUGGGUGUAAAGGGUGCUCAGGCGGAUUUGUAAGUCAGAGGUGAAAUCUCACAGCUUAACUGUGAAACUGCCUUUGAUACUGCAAGUCUAGAGUUAUGGAGAGGGUGAUGGAAUAUCUGGUGUAGCAGUGAAAUGCGUAGAUAUCAGAUAGAACACCAAUGGCGAAGGCAGUCACCUGGCCAUUAACUGACGCUAAAGCACGAAAAGCGUGGGUAGCGAACAGGAUUAGAUACCCUGGUAGUCCACGCCCUAAACGAUGAGUACUAGACAUUGGGAACUAAGUUUUCAGUGUCUGAGCUAACGCAUUAAGUACUCCACCUGGGAAGUACGAUCGCAAGGUUGAAACUCAAAGGAAUUGACGGGGGCCCGCACAAGCAGUGGAGCAUGUGGUUUAAUUCGAUGCAACGCGAAGAACCUUACCUAGGCUUGAAACGCAAGGAAAAGCAGAUGAAAGUCUGUGUGCCAGCAAUGGCGUCUUGUACAGAUGCUGCAUGGUUGUCGUCAGCUCGUGCCGUGAGGUGUUGGGUUAAGUCCCGCAACGAGCGCAACCCCUGUCCUUAGUUGCCACCAAGUAAUGUUGAGCACUCUAAGGAGACUGCCUACGCAAGUAGUGAGGAAGGUGGGGACGACGUCAAGUCCGCAUGGCUCUUACGCCUAGGGCAACACACGUGCUACAAUGGCUACUACAAAGGGCUGCAAUACCGCGAGGUGGAGCCAAUCCCUAAAAAGUAGUCUCAGUUCGGAUUGGAGUCUGCAACUCGACUCCAUGAAGCUGGAAUUGCUAGUAAUCGCGCAUCAGAACGGCGCGGUGAAUACGUUCCCGGGCCUUGUACACACCGCCCGUCAAGCCAUGGAAGCUGGGGGUACCCGAAGUCACCUUUAACAAGUGCCUAAGGUAAAACCAGUGACUGGGGCUAAGUGGUAACAAGGUAACC
rnacentral:rRNA from 1 species